rnacentral:rRNA from 1 species
AACGAACGCUGGCGGCAAGCUUAACACAUGCAAGUCGAACGGAUUAUUCUUUAUAGCUUGCUAUAAAGAAUAAUUAGUGGCAGACGGGUGAGUAAUGCAUAGGAAUCUACCUAGUAGUAUGGGAUAGCCACUAGAAAUGGUGGGUAAUACUGUAUAAUCCCUGCGGGGGAAAGAUUUAUCGCUAUUAGAUGAGCCUAUGUUAGAUUAGCUAGUUGGUAGGGUAAAGGCCUACCAAGGCGAUGAUCUAUAGCUGGCCUGAGAGGAUGAUCAGCCACACUGGAACUGAGAUACGGUCCAGACUCCUACGGGAGGCAGCAGUGGGGAAUAUUGGACAAUGGGCGCAAGCCUGAUCCAGCUAUGCCGCGUGAGUGAGGAAGGCCUUAGGGUUGUAAAACUCUUUCAGUAGGGAAGAUAAUGACGGUACCUACAGAAGAAGUCCCGGCAAACUCCGUGCCAGCAGCCGCGGUAAUACGGAGGGGGCAAGCGUUGUUC